ensembl:snoRNA small nucleolar RNA SNORD61
GCAAUGAUGAAUUUGUGUUUUUGAUUUUUGAGCUGAAAAUGCACAGCCAAUUCCUCUAAGAAGUUCUGAGCUC